AGUGGAAUUGCUGGAUCAUAUGGAAACUUUAUUUAACCUUUUGAGGGAACUUCAAGCUGUUUUCAAAAGCAGCUACACCAUUUUACACUUCCAAUAGCAAC
rnacentral:pre_miRNA from 1 species